rnacentral:rRNA from 1 species
UAGUCUACGCCGUAAACGAUGGAUACUAGUUGUUUGGCAUUUAUGCUGAGUGACUAAGCGAAAGUGAUAAGUAUCCCACCUGGGGAGUACGUUCGCAAGAAUGAAACUCAAAGGAAUUGACGGGGGCCCGCACAAGCGGUGGAGCAUGUGGUUUAAUUCGAUGAUACGCGAGGAACCUUACCAGGGCUUAAAUGUAUGUUGACAGGUUUAGAGAUAGACUUUUUCUUCGGACAAUAUACAAGGUGCUGCAUGGUUGUCGUCAGCUCGUGCCGUGAGGUGUCAGGUUAAGUCCUAUAACGAGCGCAACCCCUGUUGUUAGUUGCCAGCGAGUCAAGUCAGGAACUCUAGCAAGACUGCCGGUGCAAACCGCGAGGAAGGUGGGGAUGACGUCAAAUCAUCACGGCCCUUACGUCCUGGGGCCACACACGUGCUACAAUAGUUUUUACAAAAAGAAGACAAAAA